AAAAAAAAAAGGAGGGAAAAACGCAGGAGAAGAAGGGUGCUUGGCAUAGUAACAUUUUACAUGGCUAGGAAUAUUGUUCACUACCAGCUCAAAAAUUACAAUCAGGAAUCCAAAAUUAGAAAAAAUAACCAGCAAAUAUAGUGAAGUUCUGAAAUAGAACAGACAUUAUCAGCCAUGAAGCAAAACAAUUGAUAUCUCAAACACAUGCAGCACUAAAGAUAAAUAAAGCAAUCAAUUUGUCACUCAAUGGAAAAUGAUGACAAUGACACAUAUAGGAACAGUAAAUACUUGGCCAUGAAGCAAAACA
rnacentral:misc_RNA from 1 species